rnacentral:lncRNA from 1 species
UAUAACAACCAAUGUCAACUAUAAGGGUAAUCAUUACUUGUAAACAAUGUCAUCAUAAUUUGUUAUUGAUUAUGCAGAAGUAUCUGUUAGCAAGUUGUUGGAAAACUUGUAAAUGAUGAAAUGAAUGGAAAUAAGGAUUCCAUGUCCUUCUUGAUGAGCACUGACAAGAAGGACACGAAUGGCAUGGCUUAUAGGGUACAGUAAGUGCAUCUUUUGCCUCACAAUUCUGACAGUACAACUCUUACAUGUUUUGCAUAGUUACACCAGCAUUGAGAUACAAUCUGUGUGAAUUUUUAUGUCAGAAAACUAAUAAUUUACUCUUUACAGGAGAUACUAUGUUAACAUCAAAGGCAGAUGAUAGGUGCUUCCUAAUCUUGUUGUUUGCUCCCAGUACUGCACUCUUCCUGGUAGCUUUCAAUAACUUUGUGCAUGUCCCAUCAGAUAAAUUGAAUUCCCUAAGAAAAAACUGCUUGCAGAUACAGAUCCAUGUUAGGUUUGACUGAGAAGUAAUAGGUGUAUGCUUUUGGAUUAUGAAUAGAA